rnacentral:rRNA from 1 species
GAUGAACGCUGGCGGCGUGCCUAAUACAUGCAAGUCGAGCGAACAGACGACGAGCUUGCUCCUCUGACGUUAGCGGCGGACGGGUGAGUAACACGUGGAUAACCUACCUAUAAGACUGGGAUAACUUCGGGAAACCGGAGCUAAUACCGGAUAAUAUAUUGAACCGCAUGGUUCAAUAGUGAAAGACGGUUUUGCUGUCACUUAUAGAUGGAUCCGCGCCGCAUUAGCUAGUUGGUAAGGUAACGGCUUACCAAGGCAACGAUGCGUAGCCGACCUGAGAGGGUGAUCGGCCACACUGGAACUGAGACACGGUCCAGACUCCUACGGGAGGCAGCAGUAGGGAAUCUUCCGCAAUGGGCGAAAGCCUGACGGAGCAACGCCGCGUGAAUGAUGAAGGUCUUCGGAUCGUAAAACUCUGUUAUUAGGGAAGAACAAAUGUGUAAGUAACUAUGCACGUCUUGACGGUACCUAAUCAGAAAGCCACGGCUAACUACGUG